AAGCAAGACACACGACUUGAAGUCUUGAGAUACUGUAAACUACGCCAUGUUUUCACUGGUACUAUUCUCAGGUCUCUUUACCCUCACACUGAGUGUCCCUCAGUAUGUCUUUGUGAAUGAAUCCAAGACUUGGGCAGAAGCUCAAAGAUACUGUAGAGAUAAAUACACUGAUCUGGCCACUACUGAAAAUAAUCAACAGACGGUUCAGUUAUUGGACACAGUGAAUGAUGAUUCCAUUGAUUUGGCCUGGAUUGGACUCUAUGAUGAUCUGAACAAUUGGAAAUGGACUCUAGAGGACAGUGAUUUCUUCAACGUGGGAGGGAAAGAGUUCAGGAACUGGUAUAACCGAGGACCAGACAAUUAUGCAGGACAAAGUCUGUGUAUGUAUAUGUACUAUGGGACGUGGUAUACAACAACCUGCUCCAAUACAUUUUAUCCUACUCUCUGCUAUGAUGGAAGACAAAAUGCCAGUGCUACUUAUGUUUUAAUUUACCAGUACAAAAACUGGACUGAAGCUCAGAGUUACUGCAGAGAACAUCAUACAGACCUCGUCAGUAUCAGGAAUGAGACUGAAAACCAGAAGAUCCAGUAUUUAUUACGGAAUUAUUAUUAUUACACUGUUUGGAUUGGACUGUACAAAACCAGAUCUUGGUCAGAUCGGAGCAACUCUUCAUUUAGUUACUGGAGCACAUGGCAACCAGAUACUGCAGGAUCCUGUACUGUAGUCUCAUUCAGUGACUCUGGGAAAUGGGCUGAUGAAUACUGCAAUUAUGCAUUUCCUUUCUUUUGUCAUAAUGCAUCAUCCCGUCAGUAUCAUUUUGUGAAUGAAUCAAAGACCUGGACUGAAGCUCAGAGAUACUGCAGACAGAAUUACACUGAUCUGGCCACCAUUGAUAACAUGGAGGAAAUGAACAGACUGAUCAACACAGUUAAUGGGAGUUACAGCGGUUCAGCCUGGAUCGGACAGUAUGAUGAUGUGAACAGCUGGAGAUGGUCAUUGGAAAACAAUGAUUUCUAUCAGGAAGGAGAAAGAGAUUUCAGGAACUGGUAUCAUGAACCGGACAACAAUGGGGGGAACCAGCUGUGUGUUUACAUGAGUUAUGAUGGAAAAUGGUAUGAUAUGUCAUGUGACAACAUGCUCACAUUUGUUUGCUAUGAUGGUAGAGCAAAUGCCACACAGAGAUACAUCAGAAUAUAUAAUGGGAAAACCUGGUCAGAGGCUCGUAGAUACUGCAGAGAGCAUUACACAGAUCUCGCCAAUGUGAGAAAUCAGACUGAGAACCAGAUGAUCUUUCAGGUAUCAGGUGGACAAGUCUGGAUCGGACUGUACAGAAACAGGGUUUGGUCAAACAAUAAGACUACCAGUUAUCAAAACUGGAGGCCGCAAAUUCCUUGGUCACAGGCACAACCAGAUAAUGGAAAUAAUCAAGCUAAUGAAUAUGGAUAUCAGCACUGCACUGCAGUAUCAUUCCAGUAUUCAGGUCGAUGGACAGAUGAGGUCUGUGUAUCCAGCAUGCCUUUCUUCUGCUACAGCAGAACCUGCACACAAUCUUCAUGCACCCGUCAGUAUCACUUUGUGAAUGAAUCCAAGACCUGGACUGAAGCUCAGAGAUACUGCAGACAGAAUUACACUGAUCUGGCCACCAUUGAUAACAUGGAGGAAAUGAACAGGCUCUUUAAAACAGCACGUGGCUCUUACUAUGGCAAAGCUUGGAUUGGAUUAUAUGAUGAUCUGAACAGCUGGAGAUGGUCACUGGAGGAUGCAGCUUUAGAGAAAGGUUUUAAAAGCUGGUAUAUCCAGACACCAGUAAACUCAGGCGGACAGAGUCUGUGUGCGUACAUGCGUUCAUAUAAUUGGGGAACAUGGAGUGAAAUCUCUUGCUCCAGUACACUUCCCUUUGUUUGCUAUGAUGGAAGAGUGAAUGCUAGUACAAGUUAUGUGUUGGUUUACCAGUCCAAAACCUGGACUGAAGCUCAGAGUUACUGCAGAGAACAUCACACAGACCUCAUCAGUAUCAGGAAUGAGAUUGAAAACUACAGGGUUCAGUCAUUAAUACAAUAUUAUUAUUCAGUUGUUUGGAUUGGACUGUACAGAACCAGAUCUUGGUCAGAUCAGAGCAACUCUUCAUUCAGUAACUGGAGGACAGGACAGCCAGAUAAUGCUGGAAACAGAGAAUACUGCACUGCAGUGUCAUUUAGUGACUCUGGGAACUGGACAGACGAAAACUGUAAUACUGCCUUACCUUUCAUUUGCUACAGUGCAUUAUCCUGGGAGUAUCAUUUUGUGAAUGAGUCAAAGACCUGGACUGAAGCUCAGAGAUACUGCAGACAGAAUUACACUGAUCUAGCCACCAUUGAUAACAUGGAGGAAAUGAACAGGCUGAUCAACACAGUUAAUGGGAGUUACAAUGGUUCAGCCUGGAUUGGACUGUAUGAUGAUGUGAACAGCUGGAGAUGGUCACUGGACGACAAUGAUUUCUAUCAGGAAGGAGAGAGAGAUUUCAGGAACUGGUAUCAUGAACCAAACAACAACGCUGGGAAUGAACUGUGUGUUUACAUGGAUAAUAAUGGAAACUGGUUUGAUUCAUCAUGUGACAACUAUUACACAUUUGUCUGCUAUGAUGGUAGAGAAAACGCCUCUCAGAAGUAUAUCUGGGUAAGUACUGGAAGGACCUGGGCUGGAGCUCAGAGCUACUGCAGAGAGAUGUACACAGACCUGGCCAGUGUGAGAAAUGAGACGGAGCGUCAACAGAUACUGAGUGCACGUUAUUAUUAUAGUUAUAAUGUAUGGAUUGGUCUACACAGAAACAGACUGUGGUCAGAUCAGAGCAGCUCUUCCUUCACAUAUUGGCUGCCAUAUAUUCAAGGUGAUGUUGCACAACCAGAUAAUGGUGCAAAUGUCCCAGGAGUGCGGGGAGCUCAACACUGCACAGCUGUGUCUUUAAAAUACUUUGCCCAGUGGACAGAUGAGAGCUGCUUUGCCAGUUUCCCUUUCUUCUGUUACAGUGGUGAGCAAAUAUACCUUCUGUAAUGAAAUAAAAGAAUAAACAUCAGGCUAUUACACACAAAAACAAGAAAAUGUGGAUGUAGAUUCUGUAAAAUAUAAAGAAUAGAAAGUCUGUUUCAAAAGUGUAACAUGCUAAUGCUAGUCUUCUGUUUGCUUUUUGGUGAACCUGAUGACCAUCAUAUCAACACCUUUUCAGAUGAGUAUGUUAUGGGAAUGCGAAUAGAAGUUACAAGUCUAGAAAAUUUGUCAGAGUCUCAGAUUGAAAAGCUUGUGAUUUUACAGUUGCAAGAGGAGCUGAUCAGACUCGGACUUCCCAGCAACGCCACCAUGCAUUUGAGAGACUAUCGUAAGAUCAAACCCUGAUGGAGGAGGACAACACUUUGCAGUUUCCAAUAAAUUCAGUUGUGGGCUCAAUACUUAAUCAAGCAUGAAAUUAUACAAUAAUCUCUUGACUUUUAUAAAUCAAUGAUCCAGAUUGUUUUUUUUCCCAAAACUUUGUCAUUGGCAUGUGUUGAUUAGUGUAUCUAUUAAAUCAGUGAAGGGGUUUAUAAAAUAUUAACAAUGAAUAUAGCUUGAUUUUCAGUGUCAGAAUUAUGGAAAAUUAUAAUGUAUAGUACAGUACAAUAUACUUGUUACAUUAAUUUUUGACAUGAUAUUUUGAUCUGAAUAUGAUUGAUAAAUGUAAGAUGAUGAUUUUGUUUUAUUUGAAGUUUUGCAUAACAGUGGUACUACAUGUUGUCAAUAAAGUUGGUUAAAGUUUGAAA